rnacentral:lncRNA from 1 species
UUCCAAAGUAACAUAUAUAGAAAAGGGUAUUAUGGGAAAAUCAGUAAAUAAGGAGCAUCUUUUAGUGCAUUUUCUUUAGUUGUUACCAGAAUGCUUAUAAAGGAGUAGAGUUUAUCUUUUGUCAAAUUCUGGUCUUAGAACCUUUGGGAGAGAUUAAGCUCUUGAAUCACUAGCAAGUAAGUAUUAGGUUAUUUUUGUUUAUUUUGGUCUUAAUUUGAGUGUUUAAUCAAUCUAGUGAAACUCUUGUUAUCUGUUGUUAUUUCCUGAUUUCAUCCUCUCAUUUCAACACUUCACUUGAACACUAAUACACCGGAAUUAAAGCCUCACUCCCGAUACACCAAGAGAAUCCAACAUGUGAACAAUCUAACUUUUUUUUUUCCUUUAGACUUAUUUUGACUUUUUUCCUCAAUUCCCACACACUAAAGAAGUCGCUCACGCUGCUACUUGUUCUUCUUCUCAAUCGCACCUAAUUUUUUCAUUCUUUGACAUUUUGACUUCUGUUUUUGAUGUUUUCGACUCUCGGUGGCAGUUUCAACCUUCUUCCAACAGGUUUAAUGUAUAUCUUUAUAAAUUAGGGUAGUAAAAGUUUUACAUAGACAUAGCGGGUAAACGAGCAACAAGCUAUACCGCAACCCUUUUUUUGGAUAGCAAAACUAAUUCUUUUAAAACCAACAUCCAUAGAUCUUGGAGUCAUAACAUUACUAUGCAUGACCUGUUGGACUCUAUUGAGGAGCUCCACAGCAUCUGGUGCAAGGAAACCGAAAGUAUCAAAUGCAAAAGGUAUAAACGUGUGUUGAUUUUCCACGCACGUUUUCUCAUGUUCUGCCACUUUGCAUGAUAAGCAGCUUGCCCCACAAUGAAAACCACACUCCCCAACCUACAAGAGGGGAAACCCCUGUUAGAUCCACACAUGCAUUCUUCCCUCCGGCCCAUCCAAAAAAUAUAACAUCGCUGGUCUAAAUGUUGAUCUUCCUUUCAAUGAGUCGGUCAGGUCAGAAAGUUCACAGGUGCCUUUUUCUUGGCAAAAACCAUGCCGCGCCUAAAUAUAUUGAUGGUAAAAGGGACCUUGACGACUUAAGUGAUGAUGAGUAAUGGGAGAUUCGAAAAGAGUUUUGGGAUAUGCAAGGGGUAGUUUGACACAUCAAGGUUGUCAUUUUUAUAUGGUGGUGAGAAGGUUGUUCUUCGAGGCGAUUAAGAAUUUAGUCAACCCCUAGUUUGUUUUUGUUCAUUAGUUCGAUCUCUACGAAUGAGGGUUUUCUCGUGGAAUUAGCCAAAGCAAAGGGAACUAUAAUUCAUUGAUACAAACACAUUCCAUGUACAUAAGUCAAACUAGAAGAGUGGUCAAGUCACGUGCAUAAAGAUUUGGUCAUAUUCAAUCGCCAUUAAAAGUUUAUUGCAUUAGUUUAGGACUCACGAUUUAAUUCCAGUAUGCAUGUUUCCCUUAAUUUUAGUUAGCAAGUAGUUUCAAAUUUCUAUAAAUUGUAACCUGCAUUUUGAUUAAGAAUUAAGCAGAAAAUUGUCUCAAUAUUGUCUUGUUUAUCUAUCUCUCAUCUCUAGUUUCUGAACUAACAAAGGCCAUUACGAGUUUUUGUUAUGCCCUUCAGGCUAACCAACGUGUUGGCGAGUGGAGACUGGAGACCUUUCAAUCAUUGAUAAAGAAGGUGUUUUUCCUAUAUUUGCGAAAAUUUGUUUUUGUUCUCUUUGAAGAUAUAUUAGUCUAUACUAAAAAGCUAACAUAGCAUCGAGAGCAACUAACCAUUGUAUAUGUUCGGGCAGGAUUGUGUGGAGUACUUGGGUCAUAUUGUAUCUUGUGAGGGGGUCAUGGUGAAUGUAAAUCCAUCCAAAACCCUAAACCCUAAACCCUAAACUAUUCAGGACACCGGGGAACGUUUCUCGAAAAAAACACGACCUAUCAUAUCCAUAAAUGGAUAGACACACCGAGUUUGUGAAUUAAAGUGUUGAAGUGUAUGUGCAAUGCUUAAUGGUGUGUUAAGUAGUUACCAUGGGUCGAGAUGGAGGUCAACGAGAAAUAAAUCAUAAGGGCAAAUGGGUCAAUGUUUAUUAGAGGCGUAGAUGGAAAUAGGAGGGAGAAAUAAAUUGCAAAAAUAACGGGAGUUUGAUGAUCGUUUCCUUGUCUGCGUAUUACCUAUUUUAUGUUUAUCUUUCCUAGUUUAUGUUUAUCUAAUAAGUUAAGUUUCUUAUCACCAAGAUAUCCAUAAAUAAAAUUGCUAGGGGGGACUAGAAGGCAUAAAAAAAACUAGAAUUGGAAUAGGAUUGAGAUAUCUCUUUAAUGAUCUUUUAAGCUAUAUAACUUUAAAGGUAUUUUCCUAUCUUGUACUAUAAAUAGAGAAUCCAAUGUACCAUUUUAAAUAUAGAAAAAAAAAAAACAUUCUUUCUACUUAUAUAAUAUCAUUAUGUUAAAAAGAAAGUGGUAAACUAUGUCCAUCACACACAUUUCCAAACAAUAUCUAUGAGUGGUUGAGAAUACAAAUUGAUUAUUUACUCAGGGAAAAAAUAUAUAUAUAAAAUAUAAAAUGAGCAAUUUGGCCAUAAGUUUCAUGUCGAUAAAAGUGAUAGUUAGUACAACUUCCAUUCGUUUCCUUAUCUUACAUCCUAAUGACAUCCGAGUUUUAACUUUUAAUACUAUAAACACCAUUUGAUUGUCAAGGUUUAGAAAGGCCAUAUUGUUCACACAUGUUGCAAUUAAUAAUAAACAUUCCCACUAUUUUAAUAACUCAGUCUCCAUCUUUGAGGUUCCUUGAUAGGCUGAUAUUUU